CCAACCCGUCUGUCUGUCUGUCUGUCCAGGCCGCCCAACCGGCGUCAGACCGAGGAGGAGCUGCAGGCGGCCACCGAGGACCUGGAGACGCUGCAGCUGCAGCCCCGAGGGCAGGGGACACCCGGGGACCUGGGGACACCUCUGGGGGUGCCCACGAGCCCAGGGACACCUCAUGGGGUGGCCUCAAGCCCAGGGACACUGCAGAUGGUGGCCAUGAGCCCAGGGACACUGCAGGUCACCCCUGGGAACCUGGGGACACUUCAAGGGGUGGCAACGAGCCCAGGGACAGUUCAGAUGGUGGCCACGAGCCCAGGGACACCACAGGUCACCCCUGGGAACCUGGGGACAUCAAAGGUGGUGGCCACGAGCCCAGGGACUGUGCAGAUGGUGGCCAUGAGCCCAGGGACACUUCAGGUCACCCCUGGGAACUUGGGGACACCUCAGACUCUGCAGAUGGUGGCCACGAGUCCAGGGACACCACAGGUCACCCUUGGGAGCUUGGGGACACUUCAAGGUGUGACCAUGAGCCCAGGGACACUACAGGCCACACCUGGGAACCUGGGGACUGCACAGGUGGGGACCCUGCAGCCCCCAGGCUUGGGGACACUACAACCACAGCCCCAAAGCCUGGAGCCACCACAGGUGACACCAGGAGCCCCCAACCUCCAGGGGACACUGCAGGUGGCACCAGGAGCUGUGCAGGUGCUGCCUGGGGGGCUGCAGGUGGCCUCAGGAGACUUGGGGACACCGCAGGGGACAGUGGAGCUGGGGACACUGCCAGCAGAGCUGAGGGACCUGGAGCUGCUGCCAGGGGGACAGGACAUGCAGGAGCUGCUGCAGGGGCUGCAGCCACCCUCGGGGACCUUGGGGACGUUGGGGACACUGGGAGUGGCCGAGCUGAUGCCGGACGUGGUGGCGACCUUGGAGGAGAGCCUGGAGCAGAGCUUCCAGCUGAGCCCUGGUGAGUGUUGGGGCUGGGGGGGGACAGAGGUGUCCCCUGGGCAGGGAGCUGUCCCCUAUGGGGACUGAGCUGUCCCUUUGGGCACUGAGGUGUCCCCUGAGCCUUGCUCUGUCCCCUCUGGGCAUUGUCCCCUGGGCACUGAGGUGUCCCCUGAGCCCUGUCCUGUCCCCCUGGUCACUGCCUGGUCCACUGGGCACUGCCUUGUCCCUACUGCCCUGUCCCCUGGGCACUGCCCUGUCCCCACAGAGCUGUCCCCUGUCCCUGGGCCCUGCCCUGUCCCCUAUGGGCACAGAGAUGUCCCCUGAGCCCUGCCGUGUCCCCCUGGCACUGAGGUGUCCCCCAGGGCACAGAGCUGUCCCCUGUCCCCACUGCCCUGUCCCCCUUGGCACUCAGUUGUCC
rnacentral:lncRNA from 1 species